rnacentral:rRNA from 1 species
UACGUAGGUGACCAGCGUUGUCCGGAUUUACUGGGCGUAAAGAGCGCGCAGGCGGUCGUUCAAGUCGAGUGUGAAAGCCCCCCGGCUCAACUGGGGAGGGUCACUCGAUACUGAUCGACUUGAAGGCAGGAGAGGGAAGCGGAAUUCCCGGUGUAGUGGUGAAAUGCGUAGAUAUCGGGAGGAACACCAGUGGCGAAGGCGGCUUCCUGGCCUGUU